CAACAGAAGAAGCACCGGCUAACUCCGUGCCAGCAGCCGCGGUAAUACGGAGGGUGCGAGCGUUAAUCGGAAUUACUGGGCGUAAAGCGCACGCAGGCGGUUUGUUAAGCUAGAUGUGAAAGCCCCAGGCUCAACCUGGGAUGGUCAUUUAGAACUGGCAGACUAGAGUCUUGGAGAGGGGAGUGGAAUUCCAGGUGUAGCGGUGAAAUGCGUAGAUAUCUGGAGGAACAUCAGUGGCGAAGGCGACUCCCUGGCCAAAGACUGACGCUCAUGUGCGAAAGUGUGGGUAGCGAACAGGAUUAGAUACCCUGGUAGUCCACACCGUAAACGCUGUCUACUAGCUGUGUGUGCCUUUAAGGCGUGCGUAGCGAAGCUAACGCGAUAAGUAGACCGCCUGGGGAGUACGGCCGCAAGGUUAAAACUCAAAUGAAUUGACGGGGGCCCGCACAAGCGGUGGAGCAUGUGGUUUAAUUCGAUGCAACGCGAAGAACCUUACCUACACUUGACAUGCUGAGAAGUUACUAGAGAUAGUUUCGUGCCUUCGGGAACUCAGACACAGGUGCUGCAUGGCUGUCGUCAGCUCGUGU
rnacentral:rRNA from 1 species